rnacentral:rRNA from 1 species
UACGGAGGGGGCUAGCGUUGUUCGGAAUUACUGGGCGUAAAGCGCACGUAGGCGGCUUUGCAAGUCAGAGGUGAAAGCCCGGGGCUCAACCCCGGAAUUGCCUUUGGGACUGCAUCGCUAGAAUUGUGGAGAGGUAAGUGGAAUUCCGAGUGUAGAGGUGAAAUUCGUAGAUAUUCGGAAGAACACCAGUGGCGAAGGCGGCUCUCUGGGAGCGGUACUGGACGCUGAGACGCGAAAGCGUGGGGAGCGAACGAGG